GCCCAGGUGGCGGAAUUGGUAGACGCGCUACGUUCAGGUCGUAGUGUCCGCAAGGACGUGAAGGUUCGACUCCUUUUCUGGGUA
rnacentral:tRNA from 1 species